rnacentral:rRNA from 1 species
GUUGGAACCUGCCCCAAACUCAGUGANACAUCUAGAAAUAGGUGCUGAUACCGGAUAGUCCCGCAAUGGUAAAGAUUUUUCGGUUUGGGAGGGGCCUGCGUACUAUCAGCUAGUUGGUAAGGUAAUGGCUUACCAAGGCUAUGACGGUUAACUGGUCUGAGAGGAUGAUCAGUCGCGAUGGGACUGAGACACGGCCCAUACUCCUACGGGAGGCAGCAGUAAGGAAUCUUCCACGAGGGACGAAAGUCUGAUGGAGCAACACCGCGUGAUCGAUGAAGCCUUUAUGGGUGUAAAGAUCUUUUCUGAGAGAAGAACUCUGACGGUAUCUUAGGAAUAAGCACCGGCUAACUCCGUGCCAGCAGCCGCGGUAAUACGGAGGGUGCAAGCGUUACCCGGAAUCAUUGGGCGUAAAGCGUCCGCAGGCGGUUUGUCAAGUAAGAUGUUAAAUUUUCCAGCUCAACUGGAAAUCUAUGUCUUAAACUGGCAAACUAGAGUAUUACAGAGGUGUGCAGAAUUCUGUGUGUAAGGGUAAAAUCCGUAGAUACACAGAGGAAUACC